rnacentral:piRNA from 1 species
UCNGUGCAAGGUGAGCCAACAGGUGUGUA